AUUGAACGCUGGCGGCAGGCCUAACACAUGCAAGUCGAACGAGUGGCGGACGGGUGAGUAAUGUCUGGGAAACUGCCUGAUGGAGGGGGAUAACUACUGGAAACGGUAGCUAAUACCGCAUACCCUCAGAUGUGCCCAGAUGGGAUUAGCUUGUUGGGGGGGUAACGCGCACCAAGGCGACGAUCCCUAGCUGGUCUGGUAGGAUGACCGGGCACACUGGAACUGAGGCACGGUCCAGACGCCUACGGGAGGCAGCAGUGGGGAAUAUUGCACAAUGGGCGCAAGCCUGAUGCAGCCAUGCCGCGUGUAUGAAGAAGGCCUGCGGGUUGUAAAGUACUUUCAGCGGGGAGGCGUUACCCGCAGAAGAAGCACCGGCUAACUCCGUGCCAGCAGCCGCGGUAAUUC
rnacentral:rRNA from 1 species